UACAGAGACUGCAAGCGUUAUUCGGAUUCACUGGGCGUAAAGGGUGCGCAGGCGGUUAUGUGUGUUAGAUGUGAAAGCCCGAGGCUCAACCUCGGAAUUGCGUCUAAAACUACAUGACUAGAGUACCGGAGAGGAUAGCGGAAUUCACGGUGUAGCAGUGAAAUGCGUAGAUAUCGUGAAGAACACCAGCGGCGAAGGCGGCUAUCUGGAAGGUUACUGACGCUCAGGCACGAAAGCGUGGGGAGCAAAAGGG
rnacentral:rRNA from 1 species